rnacentral:rRNA from 1 species
GACGUAGGAUGCAAGCGUUGUCCGGAUUUAUUGGGCGUAAAGAGUUCGUAGGCGGUUCGUUAAGUCUGAUGUUAAAGACUGGGGCUCAACCUCGGAAAUGCAUUGGAUACUGGCGGACUGGAGUACAGUAGAGGCAAGCGGAAUUCCCAGUGUAGCGGUGAAAUGCGUAGAUAUUGGGAAGAACACCGGUGGCGCAAGCGGCUUGCUGGGCUGUAAGUGACGCUGAGGAACGAAAGCUAGGGUAGCGAAUGGG